ensembl:lncRNA
UUUUCUCUCUGUCAUCUGCUGUAGAAACGUAGACUGGAAAUAUUUUCCAAAUAUUCUAGAAAAAUGUGUUCCUCCUUCACUGUCUAUUUCUUAAAAUGAUCCAAGUGUCUCUGAAAGAGGAGUUUAACAUUGUGUUCGUAUUUCAUCUUUUUGGAUAGAGAUUUUUCAGAUUUCACACUAAAUUCCGUAAUCACUGCUUAAAGGUAACUCUGAGAAUUAUCUCAUUGAACUUAAGAUUUAAAAACCUUUGCUCUGAUUUUAGUGGUUUCAGGUCUACCUGUGGCUCAGUCUGUGUUUUUGCUAGCUUUAGAUAGGUGUAGCUUAGUUGAUUUGAAGAAUUCUUCCAUAUUUCUAUCCAUACUUCAGAGAUAACAACCGCAAGAGGAAAUGUCUCUUACACUUAGAUUGCUUACUCUCUACUAAGACAUUUGAAUAGAAUGAGAAGUGAAAAAAAGCUGAUUGUUUGCAAGAAGAGAGCUUUUUUAUGUUGUCCCCUUAACACCCAAGCUUUCUGGUGAUACAUAACUACUGAACAAGCAGAAUGUUAAAAUUUCUAAUUGCUGCUACUGGAGGAGUUAGUGAGAGCACUAACUUACAUCUACUAAUAUUUAAUUGUCAGAAUUGGGAGUGUAAUGUCUACAAUUAUAAUCCUAAUUGGUGAUAAUGGACCACUGUUGGCCCCGUGCAGAUAACAGUGAUUUUAGCCAGUCGUCAAUCAAGUACGUUACAGUGAGGAAAGUACUACAAACACUCAAAUCAGCUCUUCAAAAAAAAAAAAAUGUUUUCAGAUUUAAACGGGUGGAAAACAUAGGACUCUCCUUUGUUUUGAGAUGAAUUCCUAUGUUGUAGCCAAAGUUUCAUCAGAGGACAACUUUGAAGUCUCUCUUUUGAAUGUUUCCAACCCAGAGUAGGUUGUACAGGAGUAAACUAUUUUUAUUGUUAGUCUUUCCUUGGUGCCUGUGUGGGUUUUGUGAAAAAUGUUGAAGGAAAAAAAUGCUUUCUCUCAGAAUUUUAAAUUAUAUUUUCUUUACAGGCAUUUAUAUUGUAGCAAAGAUUUUAUUGAACAGACAGAAUUUUAAAAGGUAUAAUAAAUUAUAUUGAAGAACCAGACUUUUCUCGGGGAAGAGACAAUUUCAUCCAAUAAAGGUAUUUUUUAAAAGGCAUGUUCCAACAGCAACUGCAAUAUGUAUGUGAUGUGAUGUUAAAAGUUGUCUAAUAGUAGCAU